AGAAAAUACGGUGGUUGGACAUUGGGAAUGAAAACGAGCAACAACCUCCCCUUUCCCUCCCGAGACUAAAAUGUUCCUCCUUCGAGUCCAGCCCUGCCCUCAAGGACAGAGAGAGCAAACCAGACGUCACUGAAGGAUACCUUGUGGGUCUGAACAUCCUAGACCCGAUUCCUUUUUUUCCAUCUGCAUCCUUCAUGGGCAACAGAUUUCUUUGACGAAAGAAUAGAGGAAUAGGAAGAGAACUGGAUUUCCAAACAUAGGACAGCCAAAUUUCUGAGUUAAGUUUAGAGAUGAAGAAUCACGAAUUGGGCUGUUACAGGACAAAAUCGAUUAAUUGAGAGGAAAAAUUGAUCCUUGGUGCUAUUCUCCUGGUUUCCUUGCAUCCCUACCCUUUUUUGCUCACUGAAAUCAAGAUUCCUAUCCAUAAUGCUAACAGGACACUUGACAGGAGUGGGAUACUUCUUUUUCUGAAAUCAGAGACCCACAAGUUUGUUCUUUUUUUCUUGGAAGAUCUACCAGUUAGAAAUCAGAUUACCUAAUGUUAUAUUGUUUCCUUUUAAUUAAUUGUGAGUAUUUGUCAUUGUUUUUAAGGUAUAAAAAGUCUGUUUGCCCCUGUAUUGGGAUCCAGGCCUAAGCUAAGGAAGUCUGGUCCCAGCUUAUUGAAC
rnacentral:lncRNA from 1 species